rnacentral:rRNA from 1 species
AUUGAACGCUGGCGGCAUGCCUUACACAUGCAAGUCGAACGGCAGCGCGGGAGCAAUCCUGGCGGCGAGUGGCGAACGGGUGAGUAAUAUAUCGGAACGUGCCCAUUAGUAGGGGAUAGCCCGGCGAAAGCCGGAUUAAUACCGCAUACGACCUGAGGGUGAAAGCGGGGGAUCGCAAGACCUCGCGCUAUUGGAUCGGCCGAUAUCAGAUUAGCUAGUUGGUGGGGUAAAGGGCUACCAAGGCAACGAUCUGUAGUUGGUCUGAGAGGACGACCAGCCACACUGGGACUGAGACACGGCCCAGACGCCUACGGGAGGCAGCAGUGGGGAAUUUUGGACAAUGGGCGCAAGCCUGAUCCAGCAAUGCCGCGUGCAGGAAGAAGGCCUUCGGGUUGUAAACUGCUCUUGUCAGGGAAGAAAUCCUUUGGGCUAAUACCUCGGAGGGAUGACGGUACCUGAAGAAUAAGCACCGGCUAACUACGUGCCAGCCGCCGCCGUAA